CUCCCAAAGCCGUGCCUCAAGCGCUUCAUCUCUUUCUCCACCCACGCACACCUACAGGCAGACAAACUAAAGAAACAGGAAACCUAGAGGAGAAACAUCCCCUCCUCUAAAUCGUUUAGUUCUUCACCGUUUCCAGAUUUCUCCAUGGACGCCGGUGCUCUAUCCCGGUGAUUUAGGCGAUCCAUGUUCGAGUCCUUGCGCCAAAAUAUUCUGCUCCAUGCCGCAACUCCAUUCAGAGAAGAAACAACGUGUUCCGUCGAGCAUACGCGGAGAAUUUUGCAAGUACGUAUACACUGUUCGUCAAGUUCACCGCACCGUUCCGUCGAACUCGGGAGUGACGAUAUCGAUGUUGGACAUGGACAGAACAGGUUACUGAAGAAGGACUCAACAACGAAGG